rnacentral:rRNA from 1 species
CGUGAGAGGGUGAGCGCCCACACUGGGAGUGAGACGCGCCCCAGACUCAUACGGGAGGCAGCAGUAGGGAAUUUUCCACAAUGGGAGAAUGCCUGAUGGAGCAACGCCGCGUGAGUGAGGAAGGCUUUGGUGUUGUAAAUCUGUGUUUCCAGGGAAGAAUAAGGUUGAGAGUAAAUGUUCAUCCGAUGACGGUACUUGAGAAGAAAGCCCGGGCAAAUUAGGUGCCGGCAGCGGGGUUAAUAGGUAGGGGCCAAGGUUUUUCGGGAAUAAUGGGGGGAAAAGCGCGGGCAGGGGUUUCUUUAAUUCUGGGGUAAAACUCCGGGGUUCAACCCCGUGAUGCACUGGAAACUGGGGGACUUGAGUGCAGAAGAGGAGAGCGGAAUUCCACGUGUAGCGGUGAAAUGCGUAGAGAUGUGGAGGAACACCAGUGGCGAAGGCGGCUCUCUGGUCUGUAACUGACGCUA